UACGAAGGGGGCGAGCGUUGUUCGGAUUUACUGGGCGUAAAGGGCGCGCAGGCGGUCUUGAAAGUCAGGCGUGAAAGCCCCGGGCUUAACCUGGGAAUGGCCGUUGAAACUGGCGAACUGGAGUGUGGCAGAGGGGGGUGGAAUUCCGCGUGUAGCAGUGAAAUGCGUAGAGAUGCGGAGGAACACCGAUGGCGAAGGCAGCCCCCUGGGCUGACACUGACGCUCAGGCACGAAAGCGUGGGGAGCAAACAGG
rnacentral:rRNA from 1 species